GGAAGAACGUAGCGAAAUGCGAUAAGUAGUGUGAAUUGCAGAAUUCAGUGAAUCAUCGAAUCUUUGAACGCACAUUGCGCCUCCUGGUAUUCCGGGAGGCAUGCCUGUUCGAGCGUCAUUAAAAUCACUCAAGCUUAGGUUUACCUAUUGCUUGGUCUUGGAGAUGGAAGCCAAUUCAUUGGAAUCCUCUUCGAAAUCCAAUGGCGAAGACCCUUGCUCUCCCAAGUGUAGUAAUAACUUAUGUCACUGAAGGAAGCGAGAAAUCUUCCGCCGUAACCCCCAUAUUUUCUAUGAUUGACCUCGGAUCAGGUAGGGAUACCCGCUGAACUUAAGCAUAUCAAUAAGCGGAGGA
rnacentral:misc_RNA from 1 species